CUCCCCUUCCUAGGCCCUGGACUUAAAUUUGAAUUCAUUCAAUAUAUAUUUGGGAGAGGCAGGGAGACUCAAAUUUGGUGAGCUUCAGGUCCCAUCCGUCUUUCCUGAUUUAUUUUUCUCUCUAGCCCUUAUCACCAUCUGAACAAAGAUUUAUUUUUUAGCUGGUUUAUUAUCCGUCUCCUUUCCCCCUAGAAUGUAAAUUCUAGGAGGGCAGAGAUGUCUGCUUUGCUCACUUUUGCAUCCCCAGAGUUUAGAGCAGUGCCUGAAAAAAUACUGUGGAAGGAAUGCCAAUGCCUACCUAACUGCAGCUUUCAAGGUCAGCUUUCCCUUCUACUCUCCCCAGCCCACUUCCCUCUCUUAAGUGCCCCCUCUCUACUCAUCCCCAGCCCUCCUCAGACCCCACUGCAGCAGCCCUCCCAGGCACCUGGAAUGUCAGCUCAUUGAAGUCCUACUUUAAGCUAUAACAACCUUGCAUUCCCCCAGGGCCAGGAAUAUGCUUGGGACACACAAAGUGUCAGUUGUACUAAUGAGCUGAAUUUUACCUACAACUUUACAGUCAUUAAAUCGG
rnacentral:lncRNA from 1 species